rnacentral:rRNA from 1 species
CCUACGGGAGGCAGCAGUCGAGAAUCAUUCACAAUGGGGGAAACCCUGAUGGUGCGACGCCGCGUGGGGGAAUGAAGGUCUUCGGAUUGUAAACCCCUGUCAUGUGGGAGCAAAUUAAAAAGAUAGUACCACAAGAGGAAGAGACGGCUAAAUCUGUGCCAGCAGCCGCGGGAAUACAGAGGUCUCAAGCGUUGUUCGGAAUCACUGGGCGUAAAGCGUGCGUAGGCUGUUUCGUAAGUCGUGUGUGAAAGGCGCGGGCUCAACCCGCGGACGGCACAUGAUACUGCGAGACUAGAGUAAUGGAGGGGGAACCGGAAUUCGCGGUGUAGCAGUGAAAUGCGUAGAUAUCGAGAGGAACACUCGUGGCGAAGGCGGGUUCCUGGACAUUAACUGACGCUGAGGCACGAAGGCCAGGGGAGCGAAAGGGAUUAGAUACCCCAGUAGUC